rnacentral:rRNA from 1 species
AUGAACAACAAAAUCUUCCUCUGGCUUGCAUCCCUCGACAGGUGUUGGACGGCAGAGAGAUGGGCGCGCCACGACCUCACCUUGGACACGACGUGCAUCUUAUGCUCGCAAGAGAACGAGUCCGUCAACCACCUUCUCGCCGGGCGUGUCUUCUCCAGGAUCACAUGGCAUGAAAUCCUUUCGUGGUGCCGGCUCAUCACCCCAUCGAUAGAUGGUGACACUGUAUUCUUCACGUGGUGUUCCAAGGCCGUCGACGAAUCGCCGGGCUGUCUGCGAAAGGGUCCCAACUCCAUCGUCGCGCUCUCCGCUUGGUCCAUUUGGAAGCACCGCAACGCAGUCAUCUUCGAGAACCGGCGCCCCUGUACUGAAGACCUAAUACUCUCGAUCAAAGACGACGCCCUCCUCUGGGCUAAGGCGGGUGCUCGAGGCCUAGCCGCGAUUAUACCUGUAACUUAA